GGGCAAUAUAGUCCAGUAGGGUGGCUAGCAGGAAAAUUAAAGGGGUUUGGUGAAUCCAUUGCUCCUGCCAUCACCCAGAUUAAAGACCUGCCCUCUCAUCUGGUAUUUAUUAUACUCCCUUUUCUCAAUUAAGCGUCUUCAUCCAUGGAUUGUUCAUUUUAUGGGUAGAUAUGGCUCCUUAGAGUAAGGGUCAGUGGACCAUGGCCUGUGAACCAACUCCAAGCAGCUGCCUGUUUUUCUUAUGUCCAGCAGUCAGGGAUUGAGUGGGCAAGCACUGUGGGCUGCAGAUACCAAGCUCCACCCUGAUUCCCCCUCCACUCUCAGAGGCUCCAUCCAGCUGGCAGGCUCACAGCACUGCAGCCCAGCAUCUGAAGUGGUACUGUCCCUAGGCUGAUGACUGCCACAUCUUUACUGGGGCCAAAACUUUCCUCUGAGAUUCAGAUGUGUGUCACCAACUAGAGAGCAGGCUUGGAAUUUAAAAAUAAAGUUUUCAUGGAGGGGCUUCUAUAUGCCUCUUUCUGCUUGCUUUGACUUUGGCCAUGUGGAAGAGAGAUGAGGCAGCACUUCCAGGAGAUCCUUCAAUCAACCUAUGUGCAAAUCAGAAAUUGAAAUAAAUGAAGCACGUCUUGAGCAGUGUUAUGGCAAAGGAGUCUGGCUUGUAGAGUGUCUGUCUCUAGAAAUUUGGAGAGCUGGGAGCAGGAGAUGUGAUUGUGGUUCUCAACUGCAGGUGAGGCUGGGGCAGCUCUCUCAGGCCUGAAGUAUAUGCAGGGUUCUCUCUCCUAAUAGCAGCAUCCUGACUUUCCUAUAUGCUUUUUGAAUUGGUUUUGCACAUUCUUCCCACAAAUUCACAGUUUGACUGGUCAGGGAUAAACAAGUCAAUUCAUAGAUUCAGGGAAGUUUUAGAGAAUGGAAGGGAAGGACACAUUUUCACUGGAAAUUAUCAAGCCAUUACAUUUCCCAGAUGUUUACUGAAAACAAUGGCAUAAUUAUAGAUGCAAGAUCAGUUUUCAUUGGAUGUACUGUGUGUCCAACAGAGACCAUAAAUUCAACAGAAGUGGAAGGGACCAUCCCAGGACACAGUACAGCCAAAUCAACUGCACAGCCAUUUUCUCUACUAUCAGUGUGACUAGGUUGCAAUCCCAGAAAUGUUUUCAACUCCUGCAAUAUUUAUGGGGAUAUGGGAGCAGCUAUGUCCUUGUUUCUUUGAAAUCAAUAAGUAAAGAUCUGAGACGUUUAUACUACCUGAAGAAAUCAAGGUCUGUCACUAAAGUCAAUUCUUAGGGGUUUCCAUUCUCUCAUUUAGGGUAAAGUUCUAUGCUGUAGUAAAUGCACCUCAAGAUAUGUAAUGGUUAGAGCCCCAUAGAAGUUUAUUUUUCACGCAUUGAAAGUCCAAUCUGGUUAUUUUUGUUGAUGGGUGAGUAGAUCCACCAAGAACUAAUUCAAGAACCUAGGCUCUUUCCAUCCUGUGACUUCUCCAUCUUUAACAAGCAUCUUCUGAUUUGCAGCAACAAAGCGUGCAGGACUACCCAUGAGACGUUUUAUAGGUCAGGCUGGGAGGUGGUGAUAUGGCUUCUACUCACCUUUCUCAGUUAGGUCCUAGUCCCUCUGCAAGGGAGUCUGUAAAUAGAGCAUAACUGUGAGCUCGAGAAGAAAAGGAAAGAGGUUUGGUAAAUAGCUAUUCACUAGAUAACUGAAUAGCUAGCUAGCCUGUCUCUGCUGUUACAGCCUUUAAAAAAAAAUCAUGUACAAUGUCUUCCAGUUUAAUUAGGGGAUGAUUUUAAACUUUCAAAGAGACAAAGGAGAGGCAUAAAUAUCUGCAGACUUGUUUCUAUCUGGGUUAUGUUGUCGAAAACCACAAAGUGAAAGCUCUGUUCCUUAUCAGGUUUAGUCAUAAGUCAUUCUCUAUAGCAAGAAAGUUAUAAAUGCUGCAUAGAAGAACACACCCAUUUUGUUCUCUUAAGAUGAGAAAGAAAAGAAUAUGUAAAAUAUUGGAAAAAAUUAAAUUGAUACACCAAGUAUCUUUCAAGGCUGGGUUUUCUGUUACCACCUUUUCUUUAUUCUACAAUUAUGGAAAGCAUAUUCUUUAAGACAAAGACAAUCUCUCCAUUGACAAAUAUGUUAGAAAAGUUCAAAUCUUCAACAGGCCCAACACUGGUGGUGAUUCAGAGGGGCUAUGCAGCAUUUGUAUCAUUAUUGUAAUAGCAUAUUAUCAUAAGCAUGAAACAGAAAACAUACCUACUGUGUGCUGGGCACUGUGUCAAGUGCUUCACCUGCAAUAAUCCUAAAGAUCCUACAAACAACCCUAUGAGCUAGGUGUUUUUAUUAUACCCAAGCCACAGAUGAAACAAUAUAAGAUGCAGUGAAGUUAAGAAAAUUGGCUGAGUUCACAUGACUUGCUAAAGAAGCAGAAAUAGGCCUUAAAAUUGCCACCUGCCUGCUCGCAUCCCUGGCAGACCAGAUGCCUACUGACAUGGCUUUUGGUUUCUAUAGCACACAUCACUUCUAAGAUAUGUUAACAUUUUAUUGUCUUCUCUAAUAAAUUGUAAAUUGCACACUGACAGAGACCUGGUUUGUUCACUUUUGUAUCUCAAACGCAAACAGUGCCUAGCACAUACCAAUUCUGUAAAUAUGUAGGAAUGCAGAAAUGAAUGCAACCUAAUCCUAGGAGAUUCUCCUUUCAUAUCUUUUCUCUUUCUUUACAUUUUGCCUUGAUUUUCUGAGUUUUCCCAUGUCCUUCCAUUAUGUUGCUUUUCUAAGAAAGUCACAAUCACUUCUUAUUUAUUGCAACCAGAGACUCAGUGAUACAGAAAAAUGCAUUAGUUAAUUAUUGUUUAAAUUAUUGGGAGUUGCAAACAAAGUCGCUCUAUGUCCUCCUUAUUUACAGAUACUGUGUUUGCAAAUGUACUUGCUAAAAUGUACUUGUAAUUCCAAAAUCAAUGUUCCUGGUGCUUUUAUGCUCAUUUUUGAACAUACACGAAACAGAAAAAAAAAAUUAAGUUUUCACCUGAGAUGGAACAAGGUGACACUCUGCUUUCUUGUUUCAGCUCUCAUACCAUAAACAAGUGUCCUUUUUGUAGUCUAUUUAGUGCCAGACUGUUUGCAUUUUUGUGUUUCUUUCAUGGAUGAUUUUGCUGUUUAACAUGGACUGCAAGCAUAGUGCUGAAGUCUUGUCUACCACAAGAAGGCAAUGUGAGGUACCUGAUGGAGAAAAUGCAAAGACGUUUCAUUCAGGCAUGAGUGACAGACAGCAGGGCUGGCCAUGAGUUCAAUGUUAAUGAGCUGGUGCUAUAUAUUAAAUAAGGUGUCUUUAAACAGAAACACACAUAAGACAAGGUUGUGUAUUCAUUGAUGGAUAAGAAUGUUGUGACAAGAGGCUUGAAGAAAUUUAUCUCUAUUUCUCCUAGAAAAUGUUUAGUACCUGAUAAUUCCGUGUCCAAGGUGAUUCUAUAGAACAUAAUUACUGUGGGAUGGGGGGUGGGUUGGGGAAAAAUUGGUCAAUGAAUACAAAUUAUUUGUUAGAUAAAAGGAAAAAGUUCAGGAGAACUAUUGUAUAACAUAGUGACUGUAGUUCACAACAAUGUAUGGUAUUCUUGAAAAUUGCUAAGAAAGUAGAUUUUAAGUGUUUUCACCACAAAAAAUAAGUAUGGAGCAAUGCGUACAUUAAUUAGCUUGAUUUAUUUCUACAAAGUAUGGUAUGCAUAUUUCAAAAUACAAGGUUGUAUAUCAUCAAUAUAUACAGUUUUUAUUUG